rnacentral:lncRNA from 10 species
CCCAUGCCACUAUGCUAUCUCUAAUUCUGCCAUCCAGACCGAGCAAACGUACUUAAGACCUUUGUGUAAGAUCAGAAAAUCAUAAGACAGCAUUAAAAAGUACUAUACAGGAGGAGAUGGAACAAGAUGGCCAAAUAGAAGCCUCCAGCAAUCAUCUCCCCGAAAGGAAUUGAACAACUAUCAAAACAAAAUUGAACAACUAUCUAAACAAAAAAGUACCUUCAUAAAAAACAAAAAUCAGGACACAGUGUUCUGCCUCUCCUGAGUAAGCAGCAACAACGCACCAUCUUGGAAUCAGGGGACGGCCCUCACCAGACAACUAAAUCUGCAGACACCUUGGACUUCCCAGCCUCCAGAACUGUCUUUCUGGCAACUGUCUAAACAUAAACCAGAGAAGGGCAAGGCAGACUCAGGAAGGACAAAUAGAAGGCUAUUUUCAUAAAUCGGACCACCACCACAUGUGCAGCAUCCCUCUGGGUCUCUUCCAUGACAACCCUGUGGGAAGCCAGGCAAGUGAGAAUCAAUGUAAACAUGAAGUUCAUGCUGCUUACUGUGUCGUGAUAAUGUCCUUGUCUCCCAAUCAGGAGAUGCUUCUCUUCUGUCAGCCUGCAACU